GUAUUCUAAAAUAGAGAAGGGAGGAACAAAUCCAAGCUGCUCAUGACGAAGCCAUGUUUGGUGCUUCAGCACUUCCACCUCCUACCAGUACUGACAGUGAGCCUGAAAGGGAGAAUAAGAAAGAAGUUGAUAAAAAAGAUGUUGUUACAAGCCUCUUAAGUGAAACGGAGUGCUAAAAUGGUGACCAUAUGCUACCUUGAGGGCUCAAGAAUGUUUUGAUGCAUAGAGACACUAAUCUAUGUUAGAACUUUUAUGUUUUGGUUGAAC